GCGGGUGUAACUCAGUUGGUAGAGUGCCUGCUUCCCAAGCAGGUUGUCGUGGGUUCGAGUCCCAUCACCCGCUCCA
rnacentral:tRNA from 1 species